UUAAGCGACUAAGCGUACACGGUGGAUGCCCUGGCAGUCAGAGGCGAUGAAGGACGUGCUAAUCUGCGAAAAGCGCCGGCGAGGUGAUAUGAACCCUUGACCCGGCGAUGUCCGAAUGGGGAAACCCAGUGCAAUCCGUUGCACUAUCGUUAACUGAAUACAUAGGUUAACGAGGCGAACCGGGGGAACUGAAACAUCUAAGUACCCCGAGGAAAAGAAAUCAACCGAGAUUCCCCCAGUAGCGGCGAGCGAACGGGGAGCAGCCCGGAGUCUGAAUCAGCUUGUGUGUUAGUGGAACGGUCUGGAAAGUCCGACGGUACAGGGUGAUAGUCCCGUACACGAAAAUGCACAGGUUGUGAACUCGAAGAGUAGGGCGGGACACGUGGUAUCCUGUCUGAAUAUGGGGGGACCAUCCUCCAAGGCUAAAUACUCCUGACUGACCGAUAGUGAACCAGUACCGUGAGGGAAAGGCGAAAAGAACCCCGGCGAGGGGAGUGAAAAAGAACCUGAAACCGUGUACGUACAAGCAGUGGGAGCCUCUUUAUGGGGUGACUGCGUACCUUUUGUAUAAUGGGUCAGCGACUUAUAUUCUGUAGCAAGGUUAACCGUAUAGGGGAGCCGAAGGGAAACCGAGUCUUAACUGGGCGUUAAGUUGCAGGGUAUAGACCCGAAACCCGGUGAUCUAGCCAUGGGCAGGUUGAAGGUUGGGUAACACUAACUGGAGGACCGAACCGACUAAUGUUGAAAAAUUAGCGGAUGACCUGUGGCUGGGGGUGAAAGGCCAAUCAAACCGGGAGAUAGCUGGUUCUCCCCGAAAGCUAUUUAGGUAGCGCCUCGUGAAUUCAUCUUCGGGGGUAGAGCACUGUUUCGGCUAGGGGGCCAUCCCGGCUUACCAACCCGAUGCAAACUACGAAUACCGAAGAAUGUUAUCACGGGAGACACACGGCGGGUGCUAACGUCCGUCGUGAAGAGGGAAACAACCCAGACCGCCAGCUAAGGUCCCAAAGUCAUGGUUAAGUGGGAAACGAUGUGGGAAGGCACAGACAGCCAGGAUGUUGGCUUAGAAGCAGCCAUCAUUUAAAGAAAGCGUAAUAGCUCACUGGUCGAGUCGGCCUGCGCGGAAGAUGUAACGGGGCUAAACCAUGCACCGAAGCUGCGGCAGCGACACUAUGUGUUGUUGGGUAGGGGAGCGUUCUGUAAGCCGUUGAAGGUGUGCUGUGAGGCAUGCUGGAGGUAUCAGAAGUGCGAAUGCUGACAUAAGUAACGAUAAAGCGGGUGAAAAGCCCGCUCGCCGGAAGACCAAGGGUUCCUGUCCAACGUUAAUCGGGGCAGGGUGAGUCGACCCCUAAGGCGAGGCCGAAAGGCGUAGUCGAUGGGAAACAGGUUAAUAUUCCUGUACUUGGUGUUACUGCGAAGGGGGGACGGAGAAGGCUAUGUCAGCCGGGCGACGGUUGUCCCGGUUUAAGCAUGUAGGCGGAGGUUCCAGGUAAAUCCGGUACCUUUUAACGCUGAGGUGUGAUGACGAGGCACUACGGUGCUGAAGUGAUAAAUGCCCUGCUUCCAGGAAAAGCCUCUAAGCAUCAGGUAACACGAAAUCGUACCCCAAACCGACACAGGUGGUCAGGUAGAGAAUACCAAGGCGCUUGAGAGAACUCGGGUGAAGGAACUAGGCAAAAUGGUGCCGUAACUUCGGGAGAAGGCACGCUGAUGUGUAGGUGAAGCCCCUGCGGGCGGAGCUGAAAUCAGUCGAAGAUACCAGCUGGCUGCAACUGUUUAUUAAAAACACAGCACUGUGCAAACACGAAAGUGGACGUAUACGGUGUGACGCCUGCCCGGUGCCGGAAGGUUAAUUGAUGGGGUUAGCGGCAACGCGAAGCUCUUGAUCGAAGCCCCGGUAAACGGCGGCCGUAACUAUAACGGUCCUAAGGUAGCGAAAUUCCUUGUCGGGUAAGUUCCGACCUGCACGAAUGGCGUAAUGAUGGCCAGGCUGUCUCCACCCGAGACUCAGUGAAAUUGAACUCGCUGUGAAGAUGCAGUGUACCCGCGGCAAGACGGAAAGACCCCGUGAACCUUUACUAUAGCUUGACACUGAACACUGGUCCUUGAUGUGUAGGAUAGGUGGGAGGCUUUGAAGCGUGGACGCCAGUCUGCGUGGAGCCAACCUUGAAAUACCACCCUUUAAUGGCUGGUGUUCUAACGUGGACCCGUUACCCGGGUUGCGGACAGUGUCUGGUGGGUAGUUUGACUGGGGCGGUCUCCUCCCAAAGAGUAACGGAGGAGCACGAAGGUUGGCUAAUCCUGGUCGGACAUCAGGAGGUUAGUGCAAUGGCAUAAGCCAGCUUGACUGCGAGCGUGACGGCGCGAGCAGGUGCGAAAGCAGGUCAUAGUGAUCCGGUGGUUCUGAAUGGAAGGGCCAUCGCUCAACGGAUAAAAGGUACUCCGGGGAUAACAGGCUGAUACCGCCCAAGAGUUCAUAUCGACGGCGGUGUUUGGCACCUCGAUGUCGGCUCAUCACAUCCUGGGGCUGAAGUAGGUCCCAAGGGUAUGGCUGUUCGCCAUUUAAAGUGGUACGCGAGCUGGGUUUAGAACGUCGUGAGACAGUUCGGUCCCUAUCUGCCGUGGGCGCUGGAGAAUUGAGGGGGGCUGCUCCUAGUACGAGAGGACCGGAGUGGACGCAUCACUGGUGUUCGGGUUGUCAUGCCAAUGGCACUGCCCGGUAGCUAAAUGCGGAAGAGAUAAGUGCUGAAAGCAUCUAAGCACGAAACUUGCCCCGAGAUGAGUUCUCCCUGAGACCUUGAGUCUCCUGAAGGAACGUUAAAGACGAUGACGUUGAUAGGUCGGGUGUGUAAGCGCAGCGAUGCGUUGAGCUAACCGAUACUAAUGAACCGUGAGGCUUAACCUU
rnacentral:rRNA from 1 species